UUUUUUGUUGUUGUUUUUUGUUUUUUUUCCGGAGCUGGGGACCGAACCCAGGGCCUUGCGCUUCCUAGGCAAGCACUCUACCACUGAGCUAAAUCCCCAACCCCAAAAAAUUUUUUAAAAAGGAAAAAAAAUUAAACACACAGCUACACAUCCCUAGCCCUUAAGUGGCUAUUUUUUCUGUAAUAGGCAUUUAACCUCAACUAAAACACACAAAACCUAACUGAGGACACUAUGACAGCACUGUCUCUGCUCUCCAGUCCAGCCCUCUAGGAAGAUCUUCUCCUUCUCUUCUGAUUAGCUUUGGGGAAAACUUGUUCCAGGUUUCACCUGAACAGGGGCAACCACCUCUUUCUAUACCGCUUCAGCUCUCAAGAGUAGGCAUCAGGACUUCUGUCAUGGAAUGCCUGCUUGUCCAUCACCUAGUGCCCCAUUUCAUCGGAACCACCAGAAUAUAGAGCUCUCCCCUCCCCCCAGUCUUCAGGCGGAGAACAGUGCCCUGAGGUCACCAAGGUGAAGGAAAUGACUAAUGCUUGUGAUGACAUCUAAACUUGCUGAAUGACAUCUAACCUGUGCUUGAAUGGUCUAGGGAAAGCAUUUUUUCCUUUGACUCACGCUUAACCCCUAUUACCCACCAUGAAUCUGGAGAGUUCAGCUCAUAGGAGCAAUGACGAAGUGGGUGGAAUGCCUUAAAAGUCCCAGAUAGUCCAAUGACCUGAAACUUUCUCUGUGCUUUGUUGCCCCUUGAGAAAGUCUGUUUCACUAAAGUUGGCUUCUAUAGUAUAUAUGUAUAGUGGUUAUCUCUGGCACCUUGUCGACGUAAGGUGCCCUGACACCCACCCCCAGGACCUACCUGAAGAUCUGUCUGUUUCUUUUCUUUGGAUGUGAACACGGAUUUGAACACGGGUCCUCAUACUUUAGUGACAAGCAGUUUACUAACUGAGCUGUCUCCCCAGCCAUCCAGAUGGAUUCCAAACAGAAACAACAAAGGACUGUGUUUGAUUCCCAGCUCUUUGCCCUACUAGCUGGACAGCCACCACCAAUGUGAAUGUGAGAGAAUUCCUGCAAGGAAACAGGGAUUGCAGGGGCUAAAUUAUCUUGAGACAUUUUCUGCUGUCUGGAUACCUUUUAAUGUUUAUGAUCUUUUGUAACUGUUGACCAAAUCCUUUGGAAUUUAUGAACAGACUUCUAGUUUCCCUAGUCAAAUGCUAAGAAUGCUAUCAGAUAGCAUCUAAGACCUAAAGCAGUUGCCCUUGCUUUACUGGAACGUGCCAUUAGUCAUACCCCGAAAGGUAUCUGACAAGUGUGUUAUCUUAUAACCUUCUUUGUUCUAGUACUAUAAUAAGUUCAUGAGAUAGCCACUUCAUUAGAACCCACCAUUUGGGGACACCCAAGUUUGUGUUCUCAGGCUAUAGUCACUCCUAUUUGGCUCCAAAAUAAAACCAUCUUUUUUAUUCCUUUGGGGUGAGUUGUUUCUCUCCUUGACACCAAGUUUCUUUGCUUUCCUAGAACUCUUUUUUUCUUGGCUGUGAAAUGAGGAACAUAAGGAUAAUCUCUGCCUUUUGAGGUGUGGUGUAGCCAGAUACAUACUAAGAAGCAGGUUUUCCCCUGAGACCCUGAAUUGAACCUGUAUUUGCAUAUCAGUGCAUUUGAAUUUCAACAUUUCCUUCUCGUGUCUAAUGGACUCUCUGGGCUUGAAGGAGGCCAAGUGAUACAAGGGCUUUGUAAUAUAAAUAAGGAAGUAACACAGGGAAUCAGAUACUCUGGCCCCUGGAGAAGCAAGUACUUUGUCCUUGAGGCACUAUGGAAAAAAAUUGGCAGUGUUGCCAUACGUGACAGCGUGGUGAAUUGCAGUAACUACUGAACCUUCUCUGAUUACACUGCAGCUUUUUCUAGGUUGCAGCUACUACAGGGCUCUGAUACCCCACACUGAGAGAGGACCACACCCUAGAGCAAAAACAAACAAAACAACAGAAAAGCUUGGAGCCUGUGUUCCCACAUGAAAGGGCCCUGUGGGGUGACUUACCUCCUUUCCAGGCCUCAACUGGAAACUGAGUUGUUUGUUAGGUCUGAUAUGACAUUGCCAUCAACCGUGUAACCUGAGCAACAGAAAUGUAGUGCCUCUUCCUUCUAGAAGCUGUGGGCUGGAGGGUUCUUUCUGAGGACUUCGAGGGAGGCAUGUGUCCCUACCACUGAGGUUGACAUCCAUCUAUGUCUCUUAAGAGUCUCUUCCUUCUGAGCAUGCCAGUCCAUGUGUCUGGAUGUCCCCAUCUUUUAUUGGGGGGAGAGGGCAGUCAUGACAAGAGCCACCCACUUGACCUCAUUUUAGUUUGACAACUGCCUCCUUAAAGACCUUGUCUCUAAACUAGGUUACAUUCUGAUGUUUUUUGGUUUUUGUUUUUUUUGUUUGUUUGUUUGUUUGUUUUUGUUUUUGUUUUUCCGGAGCUGAGGACUGAACCCAGGGCCUUGCACUUGCUAGGCAAGCACUCUACCACUGAGCUAAAUCCCCAACCCCAGCACAUUCUGAUGUCUUGUGACUGAGGACUUCAACAUGAGUGUCAGCUUCUACUGAAAAGGAACUGUACCAUCUUCACUAUUGACUUUUAUGAGACUGGCAGACAGGAGCAGCAAUGGCCUUGCAGAUGGAGAUCCAAGCCCCAGUGGGAUGCGGAAGCUGAGCUGCCAUGGAUGCUCUGACCACAGGUUCAUCAUCUCUGGACCAGAAGCUUACACGAGUCCAGUGUCCCUCUGGUGGGUGCAUCUUUUGGGUACAGUAGUAUCCAAACUACAGCAUUAGGAAGGAUGAAGAUCAUGUUGUCAGCCAUAGCACCUGUGAAGAAGGCUUCAAGGACGUGCAGAACUGAGCCCCUAGAGUGUUCAGCUUCUUACAAUAUCCUUGAACCACCACGAAGGCCAUGGCAAACACAAUGCUUGGUGACACACACAAAGCUAGAGUGGCAAGGAUGCUCCCUGAAGAAAGAAGAAGCUGGGAGGGGUAUGCUUCCUAAGGCUCAUUUCCGUGUGGAAACAGGUAUAGGAAGAGAACAUUCCUGACUAAAGUGGCUCACUCAUACAGAGAGUCUGGUCUGAGUGCUUAUGCCAAUUACCUUCUGUCUGCAUAGCUUCCUGCUUGCCAAAGACCUUCCACUGAACACAGAGGGGAGCACCAGGCAGGGGACAUGCUGAAUGGAUGAAUUUACUCUGCCACACUGAGACUGGUGAAGAAGGGAAGGACUGGAAACUCAAGUGAAGGUGUUGUCAGAGGGAAUAAAGACAAGGAAGAUAGUUCAGGACAGACAAGGCUACCCCAGGGAAACUAUGCAGCCCACUUCAGCAACAGGAUGCUUUUCACGAUUGUUUCCAUCUGUAAUUGGUUGUAUCUUUGCAUUCAGAGCCCAUGGGUACGGA